UGGGGAAUAUUGGACAAUGGGGGCAACCCUGAUCCAGCGAUGCCGCGUGUGCGAAGAAGGCCUGCGGGUUGUAAAGCACUUUAGUUGGGGAAGAAAGGUCAUAGCACGAAUAGAGCUGUGGUUUGACGUUACCCAAAGAAUAAGCACCGGCUAACUCUGUGCCAGCAGCCGCGGUAAUACAGAGGGUGCAAGCGUUAAUCGGAAUUACUGGGCGUAAAGGGCGCGUAGGCGGUUAUAUAAGUUAGAUGUGAAAUCCCCGGGCUUAACCUGGGAACGGCAUAUAAUACUGUAUGACUAGAGUAGAGUAGAGGGAAGUGGAAUUUCCGGUGUAGCGGUGAAAUGCGUAGAUAUCGGAAAGAACACCAGUGGCGAAGGCGGCUUCCUGGACUCAUACUGACGUUGAGGCGCGAAAGCGUGGGUAGCAAACAGGAUUAGAUACCCCGGUAGUCC
rnacentral:rRNA from 1 species